ACCUGCCCCAGUCCCCGCUCACCGCAUACGGCGCACUGACGCCGCUCGCUUCCCGCGCAGUGGAAGACGACGUAAGAAAGACCCCCGGCGUCAGCACGCCGCGGAAUGAAUUCUAUUUAAUGAGUUCACCCCGGGGCGACGUGGCGAGUGCGUACAUGAGCAAGCUGGAGGCGGUCAGUCGCUGCCUCAGCCACGUGCUGGAGUCGCCGCGGGACGUGCCGUGACACGCCCCCGCCCCGUCCCGCCACGCCCCCGCCACGCCCACCGCGACAACACUACACCAAAUCAAUUAACGUAAUUUGUAAUACAAUGUAAUAAUUCUCCGCCUUACAACGGUGCCUUAAUGUUUCGCUCAUUUAAAUUUUAAAUGCUAUAAAUGCAAUUUUGCACAAUUCUUCUGACAUUCAUGUAAUUAAGAGGUCGUGAAUCCAUCUCAUUUGACAUUAAGGCUAACCCAAACUAAGGCAAUUAGAGAAUAUCUCAAAACUGGAUUUAAUACAUGCUAUGAUUUCACUAAGUAUUAGAGUAGUGCCAAAUUGAAUAUAUUUUUAGUUUAUUAAUUUAUUUAUUAGUAUUUAAGAUGUAAAUUUCAGUUUCGGUUGUUAUUGGUCCGCCUAGGGUAAUGUUUGUGCGCAAGUUGUAUUGCGUGCGAGUGAAAGAGAUGGUGAUAUGUCUCUCUGUUACUGUGUUAAUUUACGAUGCGCUCUCGUGUUUGUGUGAAAAUAGUUUUAAACAAAAACUGACUGUAAAACGAGCUCUAUAAUAUCCAUAAUAAAUAUUGACAAGUUAACUAAUGUUUAAAUUGUACAAAUCGCAUAAGUUUUCUGUAUAAUUUUAUGUUAAACGAUAACGCAACUUGCCAUAUCUGUAGAAGUAAAUAUUGUCGACGCACGAAAGUACAAGUUAGGUUAAGUUUAGUUUAAGUUAGCGACCGCGACUCGACCGAAUCUCGAACGUUCCACGACUGAGUUGCCACACACUGUCCCUUCACACGAAACUUACAGCAAAUACAGGUUAAUUAGCAAAGAAAAGGGAUAGAUUGCUUAUAAGUAGAUGGGACUCUAAGCAGUAUUUUAAAGGCGGCGAGGCUGCAGAUUGGUUGACUGAAAUUACUUUGACAUUUCUAUACAAUUUGAUUGACCUUCACAUGACUUUGACCAAUCCCGCAGCCGCUCGCGCGACCUAAGACUUCGAUAUUAGUGAUUUUGACGUAAUUUUUUAAGUUUACAAUUUACUUUGUUGACUUUAUUGAUGAUAAGAAUUUAUAUUUGUAUGACAUGUCGCAUUUCAGAUAUUUAUAAUUUCCUAUAGUUUUUACGAUUCCUCUAUACUAUCAUUUGAAAUCCAACUAACCAAAGUCAAAUAUUAUGUUAAAUUGCUGAGAGUAUCAAUUGGCACAAUUCAUUCGUCUUAGAAACUGACAACUUUACCUCUGACAAUAGCAACACUUGUUUAAACGCGCACAAAAAUACAACAUUUAUCUAAGAUGUAAAAAAAAGUAUAAUAAAUAUGCUAGUGAUUGUAAAUAGUAACAUUUAAGUAACUCCAUCUGUUGUUUAUUAAAAGAUAAUAAUAACAUAAAAUUCGUAUAAACAUUUCACACAUAUUUUCUUUAUCUUGCCAAUUGUAUGAAAUCCACCGUCGAACAAAAUCUACACUCACUGUGACCAAAGAAUCUUGUAGCCAUUUAAAAUAUUUGUCUAAAUUUAAGUUAAUUAAGGAAACAACCAUUUUGUAAGCCCAACGAAUAUUUAUUAAUCUUAUAAAGUGCAUGAGACGCGCAACAUGCGUUAUUUAGAUGGAAAAUAGUUAGAAAAUUAUAUUUGAUAGUCUCCAUCUUUGUGUGUGAGUGUCUCAUACAUGAACAUAAACAAUAAAAUUUUGUCAUCUCUAGUCACCCAUCUCACCAUUGUGCCAUUAACUCUCUACAAUAUAUACAAAAAAAAAACAGAUCUAAACGUAUAAAUAAAAGAAUAUUUUCUA